rnacentral:rRNA from 1 species
ACCUGCGGAAGGAUCAUUGUCGUGACCCUGACCAAAACAGACCGCGAACGUGUCAUCCAUGCCACUGGGUGAUGGGUCAUGCACCUGUCUCUCAGUAGGGGCUGCCGACCUUCCUCCGUUGGGUAGCGGCCCCAAAAGAACCAACGGCGCCGUAUGGCGUCAAGGAAAACCAAUAUUGCCUUGCCCAGGGCCAAGAUCGGUGAGCCGGACGCACCCUGGGCAGCGAUGCUAAGUUAACCCUCAUGACUCUCGGCAACGGAUAUCUUGGCUCUCGCAUCGAUGAAGAACGUAGCAAAAUGCGAUACCUGGUGUGAAUUGCAGAAUCCCGUGAACCAUCGAGUUUUUGAACGCAAGUUGCGCCCGAGGCCUCAUGGCUGAGGGCACGUCUGCCUGGGCGUCACGCCAGAAUACACUCCCCACCCAUCCAGGUGCGGACGUGGUGUCUGGCCCCUCGUACCGCUGGGUGCGGUGGGCCAAAGUUGGGGCUGCCGGCGGUGCCGAUCACAGCACAAGGUGGAUGACGCAUGUUGUUCUCGGUGCUACAAUCUGUACCGCUUCAAGUGAUGAUAUGGCCCUCGGGACCCAUUGACCGAUGCUCAUGCUGCUCGGACCGCGACCCCAGGUCAGUCGGGAUGACCCGCUGAAUUUAAGCAUAUCAAUAAGCGG